rnacentral:rRNA from 1 species
CCUACGGGUGGCAGCAGUGGGGAAUAUUGGACAAUGGGGGAAACCCUGAUCCAGCGACGCCGCGUGAGUGAAGAAGUAUUUCGGUACGUAAAGCUCUAUCAGCAGGAAAGAAAAUGACGGUACCUGACUAAGAAGCCCCGGCUAACUACGUGCCAGCAGCCGCGGUAAUACGUAGGGGGCAAGCGUUAUCCGGAUUUACUGGGUGUAAAGGGCGUGCAGCCGGAGAGACAAGUCAGAUGUGAAAUCCACGGGCUCAACCCGUGAACUGCAUUUGAAACUGUUUCCCUUGAGUGUCGGAGAGGUAAUCGGAAUUCCUUGUGUAGCGGUGAAAUGCGUAGAUAUAAGGAAGAACACCAGUGGCGAAGGCGGAUUACUGGACGAUAACUGACGGUGAGGCGCGAAAGCGUGGGGAGCAAACAGGAUUAGAUACCCCUGUAGUC